UAAUGGUUGUUGUACCCAGCUCUUUUCCCUGGUGUUUGCAGCUUGCUUACAAAGAGCAAAAGUUCCUUAGGUAGCUGCUACUUGUUCCUACAGUCUAUAAGAUGCAAAGGCAUUUAGGCUGUAUAAUAAAUAACAAUCUGACCCUAGUUUAGAGGAACACUAACAUGAUUUUAAUGAAGGUAGCUGGUGCCCUUAAGGCUUCACUCUAGAAAGUUGUAAUCAUAUCACUUUUCCACCUGGUGUUUGUGACAGUAACAUUCCUAUUUCACACAACUGUUUAGGAGUAGUGUAGUCCCGACUGGUUUUGAAGAACAUGUAGUAAGUAUCAAGGCCAGAUUUUGAAAAGCAGCCCUGUCCCUGUCCCACCUCCCCCACCACAGAUCCUCACUCCCAUGAGAGUGUGCCCUGCCGGGCGCACAUGGAGUUUCUGGAGCUGGCAGGAAGGGAGCGAGGAGGGGCUGCCCAGACCUCUCAACGCUUACGUCAUGUCCGGCUGGGACUGUAAAGAACCUUUAUGAGGCUGCUUAUGAUUUGUUGCAGGGUGGGCUUGGCUGGUGGUGUUUAUUUUUGCAACUGCCCCAAGAACUUGGCUUUGCUUGCUUUCUUUCUGUGUGAAACAUCAUGGUUUGUCAGACCUUGGCCCAAGCCCAUUAUGUACGAGAAAGGUGGGAAAGCUAUGACUCCACUGUCCUUGGGACAAAGCAAAAAGGACUAGGUUCAUCUGCUGUUGAAGAGAUCCCUGGUAGACCCGAGGCUUAGUUCCAGUUUUCAAGAACAGAGCCAAGACUUCAACAACCUGCCAGAUGGAUUUGCAGGGAAAUCUUUAGGUCAGCCAACCAGUGGAUGAGGAAAGGGGACAGGGAGUGGGGUUAAACAUGCAUAUCAAUGCUUCCACCCAAGCAGCUGCAGCCCUCUAUUCUUCACAAGCCUGCAUGUGACUGAAUGGAAAGCCUGAGCCGCAGUGGCAACUAAGGCAACUAUUACACCCAUUAGCUCACAAAGAGAAGUUAAAUGAAGGAAAACUUGCACAGACGGCUCGCAGAUGGAGGAUGGAUAUAGCCCUUUCCUGAAUAAAAAGUGAACUUUGUCAAUGGAAAAAAAAACACACAAGAAGGUGCUGAAAGGAAGACACGCCAGAACCGGCCAACGUUUACGUGCAGAGGGGACAUCCUACAAGUAUUUUCAAACAGAACAAGAAACAAGAAACUGGAGAAGAUGAGCUUUACUGGAGAACUGGAGAAAAGAUGUACCUUAUCAAAAUCUCUCUCCAAAAGUGCUGCAAGCAGGUCAGAAGAAUUCCUGCUGGCUGAAGCUGCAAUAUCUUUUCCAGAGCUUUCUCUGCACAGAGGUAAGCCCCAUCCAAACCAGCUGAUAAGAGAAUCAUGCUCCUUCGCAUCCAGCUCUUUGUCCCAAGUCAUCUGAAACAGCUUCCUUCGUGGUGCUACUGUGCCUUCAGCCACAAGGAAAAGCUCCCCUACACAGACUUCAGGAUGGUCUGCUUGCUGGUGGUGAAGGUGCUUUCUGCAAAGAAAGGAGCAGAAAUGGAGCAGGAGGACAAGGCUGAAAAACCAACUUCAAAAUUCAAGAUUACCUAAUGAAGAGGAAUACAGAAGGGCAGGAGGGAAACUCUGGAAGGCACCCAGAAUGCAUGAUAGAGACCAGACUAUGCCUAAUAAUGAUUUCUGGAGGAUGUUGGCUAGGAAAGCUCAUGGACUCUCCAUCAUAGGCGACUUCAUAACAGAGGCUAAACCAUCUAUUUUGGCAUUUCCUCUAUUUUUACUCUAAGAGCUUUUCCCAGUCCCUAAUGAAAGUUAUUCUCGUUGCAGCUUAAAAAUCAUUGCUUUUUAUCUUAUUCCAAGGGAUAUCGAUAAUAGUUCAUUUCCUUCUUUGUUGCUACCCUUUAUGCACCUGAAUAAAGCCAUUGUAGGAUGAAGGAAAACAGCCUCAGUCUGCUAUAGCACAUGGUCAUACAGAGUUGCCAUUAAGCCAGCCUCGUGUUCCCCCCACCCAAAUCCUGUACAAAGUUUUAAUUUGUACCAAUGUCAUUAAAAAGUUUUUUUGCAUUUAAUUCUAACAAUUUCCUUUUAUGUAAACAUACUUGAUAUAUAUAUACAUAUAUGUAUGUAUAGAUGAAAAUGUGUAUUCAAUAUUGUAACAUAAGCAAAUUCGGAUGAAAAUUGUAAAUGAACCAGGCAAAAUACACCACAGUUCAGCUAUUGUUACCCCUUAGUUUGUACCUCACUUAGCCAAACAUGAUUUUCCCUCUCCCCACACCUGAGCACAGAUUUUAAACAUUAGUUUGCCUAUGUGAAUUAACUACCUCUAGGCCUUUUAGGUCUGCGUAAUUCAAAUUCUAGGAGAUUCAAACCAUACAGAAGACAGCUGUUUGAUACAGAGCAUGUAACAGCAGGAAUCACAUGGUAGAAACCCAUGUUUAUUCAC